rnacentral:sRNA from 1 species
UGAUAAUGUCAGAUUGUCAGAUUAUAAA